UACGUAGGGGGCAAGCGUUGUCCGGAUUUAUUGGGCGUAAAGAGCGUGUAGGCGGCCAGGUAGGUCAGCUGUGAAAACUCGAGGCUUAACCUCGUGGCUUGCGGUGGAUACGGGCAGACUAGAGGUAGGUAGGGGAGAAUGGAAUUCCCGGUGUAGCGGUGAAAUGCGCAGAUAUCGGGAGGAACACCGGUGGCGAAGGCGGUUCUCUGGGCCUUACCUGACGCUGAGGAGCGAAAGCGUGGGGAGCGAACAGG
rnacentral:rRNA from 1 species